CGAACGCUGGCGGCGUGCUUAACACAUGCAAGUCGAACGGAAAGGCCUCAGCUUGCUGGGGUACUCGAGUGGCGAACGGGUGAGUAACACGUGGGUGAUCUGCCUUGCACUCUGGGAUAAGCUUGGGAAACUGGGUCUAAUACCGGAUAUGAACUGCCUUUAGUGUGGUGGUUGGAAAGUUUUUUCGGUGCAAGAUGAGCUCGCGGCCUAUCAGCUUGUUGGUGGGGUAAUGGCCUACCAAGGCGUCGACGGGUAGCCGGCCUGAGAGGGUGUACGGCCACAUUGGGACUGAGAUACGGCCCAGACUCCUACGGGAGGCAGCAGUGGGGAAUAUUGCACAAUGGGCGGAAGCCUGAUGCAGCGACGCCGCGUGGGGGAUGACGGCCUUCGGGUUGUAAACUCCUUUCGACAGGGACGAAGCUUUUUGUGACGGUACCUGUAUAAGAAGCACCGGCUAACUACGUG
rnacentral:rRNA from 1 species